GAGGCUGAGGCCCUUGGUGAAAUGGGUUGGUGAGAGACCUGUAGAAGGUAAAAAGAGGAGAAGCAAUCGUUAAGCUUCGGACACCGGUGUGGUGCCGGCCGAAGGCUCUCCGAUGCCUAAGUCAGUUACAAGUAGUAAUUCUGGCAGAGUAACAGUAAAAGUGGGAGAAUAGUUCUCCGUUUUACCUGGGUACUGUUCCCUAUUUAUAGGGAAGUGAAAGUGGGAGCUUUGCACAAAGUUCCAAUGUGGGACUUUGUGCAAGCCGUUGUGGUGACGACACGUGUCCUGGAGAUUAGGUUUGGUAGCUGAGAGCUUCGGCAGGUGUCUGGCACCUCGGAAGUGUGUCUUCCUUCGGCAUGGGAGAAGGCGUGGCUGCCUUGGUGCUAGUCGCUUUGAUGCUGGGUCUGCUCGGUUCAUUAUGGUGUAAACA
rnacentral:lncRNA from 1 species